UCCAUGAUGGCUACGUGCCCAGUUGGGG
rnacentral:sRNA from 1 species